UCCACUGAGAUUCAGCCCUUUGU
rnacentral:snRNA from 1 species